GUGGGCCUGGUCAGGAUUUAGAUUUCUUGUCUUUGUGUGUGCUCAGCCCAGGACUGAAUGCACAGCAGGCUGUCAGGAAGUAGUCAUGGAUUGAUGUGUCCGUAUUCGCCAUAACCAAGCAGGAGAUAGAUGAUUUCGUUCUGGUCUCUGGAUUUUGGCUGCAUUUUCUCUCAUAGUAGGAAUUAUUCCCGGAAGAUCCAAAUGCUCAGCUUUGUCCUCCUCUCAUCCUGGUGAGGCGUGUGAUCCAGCUGACCAUACUCCCUGGAGCCUUCUCCCGAGGUGCGCGGGUGACCUUGGCACAUACAGCCAUCAUGAUGGUACUUUAAGUGGAGGCUGAAUCAUCUCCCCUUUGAGCUGCUUGGCACGUGGCUCCCUUGGUGUUCCCCUUUUACUGCCAGGACACUGAGAUUUGGAGAGGCAACUACACAGCCAGUGGUGGGAAAGCACCUAAUUUACAUCUUCAUGCAUUGAAACUGAUGUCACUCACCUCUCCCCCUUGACCUGGAAGAGCCCCUGAAGGCUGCCAUAGGGGAAAUGAUAACCCAUUCUACAGCUGCUGAAACUGAGGCCCAGGGAGUGUCCAGAGCUUUCUGAGGUCCACCAUGUACUGUUGACCAGGAUGAGUGAUAGCCACCUGGUGACAAUGUUGAAGGUUCUCAUUCAGUAGAGCUGGGUUCAAUUCUGACUUGCCUGACCAGCUGGUGCCUCAUUUUGCUCUAAGUAUUGGAGCCUCCAGCUUUAUUUUCUUUCAGUGGGAAAGACUGUGAGAUUCAGUCCCUCCUUGAAGCUGCGCAUCGACUCUCCUGUCCUGGGUACUCUUUAGGUAGUGGCUGUUCUGAAGUGGCUUUGGAAACCCUGGAAUGAAACUGUCAUGUCCAAUGCUGAGAUUUGUAUAAACUGUCAUUUUAACUGUGAUUAUUAUUCCUUAGGAUUUGAGAAAUAAAAUCUGAGGAGGGAGCAGGACCUGCCUCAGGGCCUCCUCUCCAAGUUGAGUGACCCA
rnacentral:lncRNA from 1 species